AAAAAGUCCAGGAUCAGAUUGCCAAAAGAAUAGGCCUUUCCAAUGAAGGUUGGGAAUCUAAGAGCCGUGAUGAGAAAGCUGGAGAUAUCUUCAACGUAUUAUGUAGAAAGAAGUUUGCAUUGUUGUUGGAUGAUAUAUGGGAAUGGUUUGAUCUUGCAGGAGCCGGGGUACCUCUUCCAACACAAGAAAAUGGCUCUAAAGUCAUUUUCACAACUCGUCGUCUUGACGUGUGCUGUCAAAUGCAACAGAACAUGGAUAAUAAUAUCAGAGUGGAAUGUUUACCACCAGGAGAAGCUUUCAAACUGUUCGAGGAGAAGGUUGGAUCAGAAACCCUUCGAAUGCAUCCAGAUAUUUGCAAGUUAGCUGAAGCGGUGGUUGAAGAGUGUGCAGGGCUACCUCUCGCUCUCAUUACAAUUGGGCGAGCCAUGGCAUCCAAGAAGACCCCUCGAGAAUGGGAAUAUGCUAUUGAAGCUUUAAGGCAAUCACCAGCUUCUGCUUUCCCAAGGGUAGGGCAAGAGAUGUAUCCCAAGUUAAAAUUCAGUUAUGACUGUUUACCUGAUGAAAGGUUCAGAUCUUGUUUCUUGUAUUGUUCUUUAUAUCCAGAAGAUUAUCCCAUCGGGAAAGAUAAACUAGUAGAUUGUUGGAUCGGGGAAGGACUUUUGGACGAGAUUACCAAUUUGAGCAAUGCCAGAAACCAGGGACAUUUCAUUAUAGGUUCUCUUAUUGACGCAUGCUUAUUGGAGAAAUGGCGAUUUAAUGUUAAUGUAAAGAUGCACGAUGUGAUUCGCGACAUGGCUUUGUGGAUUGUGUUGCGGAAGCGACGAUAAUAUUAAUAACAAUAUUAUCAGAAAUAUUUAGAUAAUUAUUAUGCCAACAAUUAUACUAAGAAAAUUCCCAGUUAAAUUGGAGGGGUCACAAAUGGUCCCGCUUAAAACCCAACAACUAGACAGAACUCACUUAGAUAUUUAUAGCAAUAAUAACUAAAUAAAUAUAACCAACAUAAAGCUAUUAAAUAUAAGCAAACAAAUAAGAAAUAAAAUACCAGAGAUUUAACGAGGUUCGGCCAAUUUAGCUUACGUCCUCGGACACUACCAAAUUAAUAUUUCUUCUAGAAAUAUUACAAAGGAGAAGAUUUUGGGAUGAUACAACCAAAUGGGGAGGGGUUCUAUAUAUAACAAACCAAACCCCCUCCAUUUCUAUCUUUUCCUAAUGUGGGAUAUUGCCAAUAUUCAACAAAUCUCCACCUUGGCGAUAUUCCACAUCUUCGAACAUCUUCUCAUAACACUAACUUCAAUAGUGUCUUCAAAUUUGCAACCAAUCGCCUUCUUCCCUUUUGGUAGUUGUGCCAGCUUCCACGUCUUGUUUUUCUCUAGAGAUUGCAUUUCCUCUUCCAUUGCACCUAACCAUCUAUUAUUCUCUAAACUCUGAAUGGCUUUGGUGUAAGUGGAUGGAAUAUUAUCAACAACUGGAAGUGCAUAAGCUACCAUGUCAGUGAAACGAGCAGGUUUCUGAAUUUCUCGUCUCUGCCUUCUGACUGCAAUUGGCUCUGAUUGCUGUUGAGGUUCUUGGGUAGAAACCUCUUCCUCAUCUGACUCUGCAUCUGCCAAUGAAGAAUCACUAGUGGUACCUUCUGCUGGAAUUACCACACUCUGCUCAAACUCCACCUGCUGCGGAGUACACUCCACCUGCUGCGAAGUACUACUCACUCCUUCUGGAUUUACCUUAUUCAACAUGGCAGAUUCAUGAAAGGUAACAUCCCUACUGAUUAUCAUCUUCUUUGCCUCUAGACACCACAAACGAUAUCCCUUAACACCAGCAUUGAAGCCCAUGAAUAGAGCCUUCUUUGCUCUUGGAUCUAACUUUGAUUCUUUCACAUGAUAAUAUGCAAUAGAACCAAAAAUGCGCAAGGUGUCAUAAUCAGUAGCAGGUUUUCCAUACCAUUUCUCCAAAGGAGUCUUGCCAUUUAUAGCAGAUGAUGGCAAAUGAUUGAUGAGAUGUUGAGCGUACGUCACAGCCUCAGUCCAAAACUUUCUAUCUAAUCCAGCAUUAGAUAACAUACAUCGAACUUUCUCCACAAGCGUUCGAUUCAUACGCUCUGCCACCCCAUUCUGUUGCGGUGUUCCACCUACGGUGAAGUGCCUUACUAUGCCACAAUCUUGGCAUAUCUUCAGGAAAGGAUCGCUUUUAUAUUCUCCACCGUUGUCUGAUCGGAGAACCUUAAUCUUCCUUCCUGUCUGAUUUUCAACUUUAGUUUUCCACUUAAGGAAAACUUCAAGCACCUCAUCUUUGUUCUUCAUAGGAAACACCCAAACUCGUCUGGAAAAAUCAUCAAUAAAGGUGACAAAAUAACGUCUUCCUCCAAGUGAUGGAGUCUUGGACGGUCCCCAUACAUCAGAAUGCACAUAAUCCAGAAUACCUUUAGUAUUGUGAAUCCCAGUGCCAAAUUUCACCCUUUGUUGUUUUCCCAGAACACAAUGCUCGCAAAAUUCAAGUUUGCAAGUCUUUGUACCUUUCAAUAAUCCUUGCUUGGCUAGAGUUUGCAAGGAUUUUUCACCAGCAUGGCCCAAACGCAUAUGCCACAGCUGUGUUGCCUCAGCGUCCUUCUUGGUACUCGAAAUUGCUGCUGCUGUUGUCCCAACCACUGUACUACCUUGGUAGUAAUACAGAUUGUUCUUUCUUAUGCCUUUCAACAUCACCAAUGCUCCUGAAGUUGCUUUAAGAACUCCAUCUCGUAUUGUCACAACUAGGCCUUUAGAUUCUAACGACCCCAAAGAGAUGAGAUUCUUCUUCAACUUUGGGACAUAUCGUACAUCCCGCAAAAUUCUAGUAGAUCCAUCAUGACUCCUCAGUUUAAUUGAACCUAUCCCGGCUAUUUUACAUGUGUUAUCAUUACCCAUGUAAACAACCCCUUCAUCUAGUUUUUGAAAUUCAAAGAACCAUUCCCGAAUGGGACACAUAUGAUAGGAACAACCAGAAUCCAUGAUCCACUCAUCUGCAUAUAAUGUUGAAGAUGUCAUACUAAGAGAAAAGUCUGACUCUGCUUCACUAUUGCAUUCUGCAACAUUUGCAUCUUGCGGAGUUUUCCCUUUUUUCUUCAAUUUUGGACAAUCUUUCUUCCAAUGUCCUUUUUCUUUGCAAAAAGAACAUUCAUCUUUGGCAACAGCUCGACCUUUGGACUUUCUUCUCUUCCCCUUAGACUGACUUUGCUGACGACCUCUUGUUACCAAUGCUUCCACUGCUGCUUCACCUGAACCUUUCAACUUAUCCUUUCGGCGUAGUUCAUAGCUAUACAAUGCAGCAGUAACUUCAUUGAAAGUUACUUCCGAUUUUCCAUGAAGUAGAGUAGUUUCAAGGUACUCAAACUCCUCAGGAAGCGAUCCCAACAACAUUAACGCCAAGUCUUCGUCUUCAAAAGUCACAUCCAAAUUCAACAAAUCAGCCACCAGCUGAUUAAAAUUGGUAAUGUGCUCGUUCAUCGUGGUACCAGGAACAUAAUUGAAACGAAACAGUCUUUUCUUCAUAUGCAACUUAUUUUGACUGUUCUUCUUCAAGAAUUUCUCCUCCAAUGCUUUCCACAAUUUACUUGCAGAAGUCCCUUUACUGAAUGUAUACUUUUGCUCUCUGGAAAGACAUGAUCGAAUUGUACCACAUGCCAAUCGGUUGAUGGUCUUCCAUUCUUUAUCAUCAACCCCUUCUGGUUUUUCUUCCUCAAUGGCAAUAUCUAGACCCUGUUGAAAGAGGGCAUCUAGAAGCUCACUUUGCCACAUGCCGAAAUGACCUGUUCCAUCAAAAAUUUCCACUACAAAUCUCGUAUUUCCAGUUCCAAUCCUCGGCAAAAUGUACGAAGUGGAAGUUGUUGAUAUGGAUGGUUUUUCUUCUGUCAUUUUUGCCAUAGCUUCUACUUAAUAGCCACCAAAUGCAGAAUACCCACAAGCUUUAGGAAAUGUUUCUGAUGUGUAAGAUCAGACUAAGCUGCAAACACAGAGCAUACUACAAAACCUUGGCUCUGAUACCAAUUGUUGCGGAAGCGACGAUAAUAUUAAUAACAAUAUUAUCAGAAAUAUUUAGAUAAUUAUUAUGCCAACAAUUAUACUAAGAAAAUUCUCAGUUAAAUUGGAGGGGUCACAAAUGGUCCCGCUUAAAACCCAACAACUAGACAGAACUCACUUAGAUAUUUAUAGCAAUAAUAACUAAAUAAAUAUAACCAACAUAAAGCUAUUAAAUAUAAGCAAACAAAUAAGAAAUAAAAUACCAGAGAUUUAACGAGGUUCGGCCAAUUUAGCUUACGUCCUCGGACACUACCAAAUUAAUAUUUCUUCUAGAAAUAUUACAAAGGAGAAGAUUUUGGGAUGAUACAACCAAAGGGGGAGGGGUUCUAUAUAUAACAAACCAAACCCCCUCCCUUUCUAUCUUUUCCUAAUGUGGGAUAUUGCCAAUAUUCAACAGAUUGCUGGUGAAUCUGAGAAGGAGAAGUUUUUUGUAAAAUCUGGUGUUCAGUUAAAGGAACAACCGAAAGCUGAAAAGUGGGAAGAGGUAACAAGAAUGUCGCUGAUGAAUAAUCAAAUUGAAAAUCUAACUGAGAUAUUGGAAUGUCCCAAUCUCCAAACUUUGUUUCUUAGGAGUAAUCUUUUGAAGGUAAUCAUCAAUGAUUUCUUUAAAUUCAUGCCGAUGCUAAGGGUUCUGGACUUGUCUAAAAAUAGGAAUUUGGAAGAAUUGCCAGUAGGAAUUGCAAAGUUGGUUUCACUAGAACAUCUCAAUUUGUCACAGACAGGAAUAAAAAAGUUGCCAGUCGAAUUGAAGGUCUAACAAAGCUGAAAUAUUUGAAUCUGGAGUGGACACGCGAUCUAGAAAUGAUCCCACAACAAUUGAUAUCCAGUUUCUCCAAGUUGCAAGUACUGAAAAUGGUGGGAUGUGGUUAUGGAUGUUUAUCGGUUUUGGAGGAAAUGGAGCAUUUAAAAUAUUUGAAUGUGUUGACUCUUGGUUUUAGAAGCGCUUCGGAGUUGGAAAAAGCUUCGAGGUUCAACAAGUUCUUUAGCUGUGCCAUUGAAUGUGUAAGCCUUGAAGGUUUCAGAGAUUCAAGAUCAUUGAAUAUUAUGGCUUUAGCAAAACUGCAGCACCUACAUGCUUUAAGCCUCUCGAGUUGUAUGGAUCUAGAGGAAGUGAAGAUCGAACGUAACAUAAUUGAAGGUGCAGGAUGCUUCCAUAGCCUUCGAUCUGUAAACCUAAUCGGAUGCAAUAAUUUGAGGGAUGUGAGUUGGGUAAUUUUUGCUCCACAUUUGGAACUACUAUAUAUAUUGAAAUGCCAAGGUUUAGAAGAAAUCAUCAGUGAAGAAAAACUUGGUGAAGUCGCUGAGCUAAAAGGAAAUUCAAACUUAUUUUCUAAGCUCAAGGAUUUGGUUCUACGAUAUCUGCCCAAACUAAAGACUAUAUACCACCAUGCUCUGCCUUUCCCACAGCUAAAGGAAAUCAGAAUUGUAAAAUGCGGAAUGUUGAAGAAGCUCCCACUAAACUCCAAUAGUGCAAAAGGACAAAGGCUUGUCAUUAAAGGAGAAGAGGGAUGGUGGAAAGACGUAGAAUGGGAGGAUGAAUCCACUCAAAAUACUUUUCUCCCCUCUUUCAAACCUGUGUUCUAAGAAAUGCUCCGCGUUGAUAUCUCAUUAUGAUCAAAUAUAUAUGUACAUACGAAUAAAUUUAAACAAAACUUGUAAAACGAACAAGACUUGAGCAACUAAGUAUUAUUUCGAUACCAUAUAUAAGUCUGAAUUGAUCUAUAAGUAUUUAAAAGUGAGAUUAUAUAUCUGAAUUCUGUAGAAUCACAGCUCAUAAACAAGUUAUAACAAUUAAUACUCAAAUGAUAGUGUGAAUAUGUAGAUCCAAAGUUAAUAAUAUGAUAUGCCAAAUUGUAACAAACACCACUACUUUUGCUUACCCCAUCCUUAGCUAUUAUUGAACAAACCAUGAAAAGGAGUUGGAAAAAAAAAAAGAAAAGCAAUGCUUGAGGGUGGCAGGGCCCGACCCCGCCCCCUAAAAUAGAAAAUUUUCUAUUUAGGUUUUUUAAGAUUUUUAAAAUUUUAAAUUAGUAAAAAUAAAAUUACAUAUUGGCCCCUUUAAAAAUAAUAAAAAUUUGAUUUAAUUUUUUAAAAAUUAUAAAGAUAUAAACUAUUAAAAUUGUGAAAUUGUACUUUUACUAUCGUAAAAAAUUAUAAUUUAAUUUUGAUCCCUGGUAUUCAAACAGUAAUGACAACUCUCCCUGAAAUCCAUUUGAACAAAACUUUAACUCCACAAUUAGGAUCAGCAAUUACUUAUGAUUUGAUCAUAUUAUACCAUACUAAAAUGUCUCAUUUUUUACAUCUAUUUUUGCCAUACAAUGCUCAACCUACUUCCUUUGCAUUUUGAAUCUACACACCGGCUUCCAAGGUUGCCAACCAGAUGACUGCAAAGGGCAUAAAUAUUGUAGUAAGUUUGCUGACAUUUUAACUAAGCCCCUUGGGACUAUUUGGUUCGAGAGCUUGAGAAGCAAUAACGGUGUCUACUGCAUAGAAGCCAAGGAAGAGUGUUGAAUAUGGACCAGCCAUGCAGCAGCAAGAACUCUUGAUGCACAACCAUGCAGCUGAAGCAUUGGUACAUGCAAGUAUGACAGAAUUGCAUGGUCAACUAGUGUAGCUCAGUUGUAAUGAUGCACAAAGGCUAGUUAGGUAAUAUGUUUAUGCUUAGGUACUGAUUUGGCUGAUAAGUCAGCGUGUUUAAGUGUACAAGUAAUGUUUUGUAAGUUUCAAUGUUGUUAGUGGGAGUUGUUAUGUAUUCGGUAAUGCUUGUAAGUUAAAGGCAACAGUUCCUUCAGAAAUUGAUGAUGAAAAACGUUUUCAGCUUCUUCUUGUUUUUAGCUUCUCAUUUUUCUUCUCUGUUCUCAGUCUUUUAUUGUUGAUAAACUCCAACAAUUUCAUAGGCUUAAGGUCGUUGAACGUUUUGACUUUAGUAAAUAUGCUUUUAUCUAUAUACUUCACGUCUUUCGAGUUGUAUGGAUCUAGAAGAGGUGAAGAUUGAUAGUGCAUGGAUUGCAAGUGCAGGAUGCUUCCAUAGCCUUGGAUUUCUAUCCUUAUUUGGCAGCCAUAAUCUGAGGGAUAUGAGUUGGGUAACUUUUGCUCAACAUUUGGAAGAACUAUCUAUAUGGCAAUGCCUAGGUUUAGAAGAAAUUAUCAGUUGGGAAAAACAUAAUGAAGUUGCAGAAUUGAAGGAGAAUUCAAACUUCUUUUUUAAGCUCUAAAUUUUGGAUCAACAUUAUCUGCCCAAAAUGAAGACAAUAUAGCGGGAUGCUCUGCCCUUUCAACAACUAAAGGAAACUAUAAAUGAAAAAUGGCCAACGUUGAAGAAGCUCCCACUAAAGUUCAAUAGUGCCCAGGGACGGAAGAUUGUCAUUAAAGGAGAGAAGUGGUGGAAAGAUGUAGAAUGGGAACAUGAAUCCACUCCAAUUGCUUUUCUUUCCUCUUUCAAACCUCUGUUUUCACAAUAUGCUGGAAAUUAGGGUUGGAAAGGGUUAAAGCGCUUGUUGUAUCACAGUAUCAUAACAUAGUUCAUAGUAAGUUUUGUCUUGCGUGUCCCUAGAUUACAUGUGAUUUUGUUGUCGUAUUCAAUGUCUUGGGUUGGGAUGAUAAAAUUGAGGGAGUAGAGUUUAUGAUUUUUGAGGUUUGAAUCCUAUUCUGUGCAUGUACUUUCUAGACUUUAUAUAAAAACGAAAGGGUAAAUUAUGGAAAUGGUCCUUUUGUCUUAUUUUGUUCACCCCUGAAACAAAAUUUUAUUUCUUCCAUUGGCAUUUGGCUCCAAUGCUUGAAAUUAUUGAUGCAAGGUGAGUGAAUGUUUUUGGUUGGUCUGCUAAUUCACAUUUGGCAACUAAAUGUUUUGAUAUAUUGAACUUCGAUAGUGAGUUGCUAAUUAGGGAGGUAGUUCUUGGAAAGACCCUAAAUUUGCCAAUCUCCUUUUCAGUUCUAUCUCAUAUAUGCUUUUGACCAUCUUCAUGCAGAUAAUUGCCAAUGGUGAAAUUUUCCAGACAGUUUCAAAUAAUCAAGGAAGUGUAAAAUUUUAAACAAUUUCAAAAAGAAUAAUUGAAAUUAAUUUUUUAAUUUUGCAAGGUUUAGUAAGAAACUAAAAUUUAAAUUAAUUAAACUAAAAUAUAUGAAAGAAAUUUAAAAAUUAAUUAAAAUAUCAAAAUAAAGAAUAAUUCUUUAUAUAAGGAUUUUUGAAAGAGGCAUCAAUUUGACUUUCAUAUAUGAGAAUUAUAUAUAAUUCUUUAGUUAAAAACAUUAAACUAAUUUAAUUAAUUAUAUUUACAUAAUAAAUUAAAUUAUUUUCACUGCACACCGAAAAUGCCUUACAAUGGACCCAUUGUGUCAAUAAUUGUAGUAUAUUUGUAGUACUAAAACUUUCAAAAUCAAAGAGAACUGUGUGCAACUGCAGUACAAGUUAAUGGGUUUACCUGCCAAUUUUCUUUCUCUGUUUUUGUUUACCAAAAUAUUCUUACUCUUUCAUAUAACUCCAUAAGCAUCUUUGAUCUAUUCCUUGCUUCUAUUUCCUGAAAUUGUUGAACUCACUCUUCUAAAAUCAAAACCAGGUAUGGGUAAUUGUUGAAUAUUGGCAAUAUCUCACAUUAGGAAAAGAUAGAAAGGGAGGGGGUUUGGUUUGUUAUAUAUAGAACCCCUCCCCCUUUGGUUUUAUCAUCCCAAAAUCUUCUCCUUUGUAAUAUUUCUAGAAGAAAUAUUAAUUUGGUAGUGUCCGAGGACGUAAGCUAAAUUGGCCGAACCUCGUUAAAUCUCUGGUAUUUUAUUUCUUAUUUGUUUGCUUAUAUUUAAUAGCUUUAUGUUGGUUAUAUUUAUUUAGUUAUUAUUGCUAUAAAUAUCUAAGUGAGUUCUGUCUAGUUGUUGGGUUUUAAGCGGGACUAUUGUGACCCCUCCAAUUUAACUAGGAAUUUUCUUAGUAUAAUUGUUGGCAUAAUAAUUAUCUAAAUAUUUCUGAUAAUAUUUUUAUUAAUAUUAUCGUCGCUUUCGCAACAAUUGGUAUCAGAGCCAAGGUUUUGUAGUAUGCUCUGUGUUUGCAGCUUAGUCUGAUCUUACACAUCAGAAACAUUUCCUAAAGCUUGUGGGUAUUCUGCAUUUGGUGGCUAUUAAGUAGAAGCUAUGGCAAAAAUGACAAAAGAAAAACCAUCCAUAUCAACAACUUCCACUUCGUACAUUUUGCCGAGGAUUGGAACUGCAAAUACGAGAUUUGUAGUGGAAAUUUUUGAUGGAACAGGUCAUUUCGGCAUGUGGUAAAGUGAGCUUCUAGAUGUCCUCUUUCAACAGGGUCUAGAUAUUGCCAUUGAGGAAGAAAAACCAGAAGGGGUUGAUGAUAAAGAAUGGAAGACCAUCAACCGAUUGGCAUGUGGUACAAUUCGAUCAUGUCUUUCCAGAGAGCAGAAGUAUACAUUCAGUAAAGAGACUUCUGCAAGUAAAUUGUGGAAAGCAUUGGAGGAGAAAUUCUUGAAGAAGAACAGUCAAAAUAAGUUGCAUAUGAAGAAAAGACUGUUUCGUUUCAAUUAUGUUCCUGGUACCACGAUGAACGAGCACAUUACCAAUUUUAAUCAGCUGGUGGCUGAUUUGUUGAAUUUGGAUGUGACUUUUGAAGACGAAGACUUGGCGUUAAUGUUGUUGGGAUCGCUUCCUGAGGAGUUUGAGUACCUUGAAACUACUCUACUUCAUGGAAAAUCGGAAGUAACUUUCAAUGAAGUAACUGCUGCAUUGUAUAGCUAUGGACUACGCCGAAAAGAUAAGUUGAAAGGUUCAGGUGAAGCAGCAGUGGAAGCAUUGGUAACAAGAGGUCGUCAGCAAAGUCAGUCUAAGGGGAAGAGAAGAAAGUCCAAAGGUCGAGCUGUUGCCAAAGAUAAAUGUUCUUUUUGCAAAGAAAAAAGACAUUGGAAGAAAGAUUGUCCAAAAUUGAAGAAAAAAGGGAAGACUCCGCAAGAUGCAAAUGUUGCAGAAUGCAAUAGUGAAGCAGAGUCAGGCUUUUCUCUUAGUAUGACAUCUUCAACAUUAUAUGCAGAUGAGUGGAUCAUGGAUUCUGGUUGUUCCUAUCAUAUGUGUCCCAUUCGGGAAUGGUUCUUUGAAUUUCAAAAACUAGAUGAAGGGGUUAUUUAUAUGGGUAAUGAUAACACAUGUAAAAUAGCCGGGAUAGGUUCAAUUAAACUGAGGAGUCAUGAUGGAUCUACUAGAAUUUUGCGGGAUGUACGAUAUGUCCCAAAGUUGAAGAAGAAUCUCAUCUCUUUGGGGUCGUUAGAAUCUAAAGGCCUAGUUGUGACAAUACGAGAUGGAGUUCUUAAAGCAACUUCAGGAGCAUUGGUGAUGUUGAAAGGCAUAAGAAAGAACAAUCUGUAUUACUACCAAGGUAGUACAAUGGUCGGGACAACAGCAGCAGCAAUUUCGAGUUUCAAGAAGGACGCUGAGGCAACACAGCUGUGGCAUAUGCGUUUGGGCCAUGCUGGUGAAAAAUCCUUGCAAACUCUAGCCAAGAAAGGAUUAUUGAAAGGUACAAAGACUUGCAAACUUGAAUUUUGCGAGCAUUGUGUUCUGGGAAAACAACGAAGGGUGAAAUUUGGCACUGGGAUUCACAAUACUAAAGGUAUUCUGGAUUAUGUGCAUUCUGAUGUAUGGGGACCGUCCAUGACUCCAUCACUUGGAGGAAGACGUUAUUUUGUCACCUUUAUUGAUGAUUUUUUCAGACGAGUUUGGGUGUUUCCUAUGAAGAACAAAGAUGAGGUGCUUGAAGUUUUCCUUAAGUGGAAAACUAAAGUUGAAAAUCAGACAUGAAGGAAGAUUAAGGUUCUCCGAUCAGACAACGGUGGAGAAUAUAAAAGCGAUCCAUUCCUAAAGAUAUGCCAAGAUUGUGGCAUAGUAAGGCACUUCACCGUAGGUGGAACACCGCAACAGAAUGGGGUGGCAGAGAGUAUGAAUCGAACGCUUGUGGAGAAAGUUCGAUGUAUGUUAUCUAAUGCUGGAUUAGAUAGAAAGUUUUGGACUGAGGCUGUGACGUACGCUCAACAUCUCAUCAAUCAUUUGCCAUCAUCUGCUAUAAAUGGCAAGACUCCUUUGGAGAAAUGGUAUGGAAAACCUGCUACUGAUUAUGACACCUUGCGUAUUUUUGGUUCUAUUGCAUAUUAUCAUGUGAAAGAAUCAAAGUUAGAUUCAAGAGCAAAGAAGGCUCUAUUCAUGGGCUUCAAUGCUGGUGUUAAGGGAUAUCGUUUGUGGUGUCUAGAGGCAAAGAAGACGAUAAUCAGUAGGGAUGUUACCUUUCAUGAAUCUGCCAUGUUGAAUAAGGUAAAUCCAGAAGGAGUGAGUAGUACUUCGCAGCAGGUGGAGUGUACUCCGCAGCAGGUGGAGUUUGAGCAGAGUGUGGUAAUUCCAGCAAAAGGUACCACUAGUGAUUCUUCAUUGGCAGAUGCAGAGUCAGAUAAAGAAGAGGUUUCUACCCAAGAACCUCAACAGCAAUCAGAGCCAAUUGCAGUCAGAAGGCAGAGACGAGAAAUUCAGAAACCUGCUCGUUUCACUGACAUGGUAGCUUAUGCACUUCCAGUUGUUGAUAAUAUUCCAUCCACUUACACCGAAGCCAUUCAGAGUUUAGAGAAUAAUAGAUGGUUAGGUGCAAUGGAAGAGGAAAUGCAAUCUCUAGAGAAAAACAAGACGUGGAAGCUGGCACAACUACCAAAAGGGAAGAAGGCGAUUGGUUGCAAAUUUGAAGACACUAUUGAAGUUUGUGUUAUGAGAAGAUGUUCGAAGAUGUGGAAUAUCGCCAAGGUGGAGAUUUGUUGAAUAUUGGCAAUAUCCCACAUUAGGAAAAGAUAGAAAGGGAGGGGGUUUGGUUUGUUAUAUAUAGAACCCCUCCCCCUUUGGUUUUAUCAUCCAAAAAUCUUCUCAUUUGUAAUAUUUCUAGAAGAAAUAUUAAUUUGGUAGUGUCCGAGGACGUAAGCUAAAUUGGCCGAACCUCGUUAAAUCUCUGGUAUUUUAUUUCUUAUUUGUUUGCUUAUAUUUAAUAGCUUUAUGUUGGUUAUAUUUAUUUAGUUAUUAUUGCUAUAAAUAUCUAAGUGAGUUCUGUCUAGUUAUUGGGUUUUAAGCGGGACCAUUGUGACCCCUCUAAUUUAACUGGGAAUUUUCUUAGUAUAAUUGUUGGCAUAAUAAUUAUCUAAAUGUUUCUGAUAAUAUUGUUAUUAAUAUUAUCGUCGCUUCCGCAACAGUAAUAUCUUCUCAAUCUCACUUUCACUCGAUACCAUCAUUACCCGUUGCUGGGAUUGUGCUGCUGGACAGGCAAUUUAUAUAUGCAACCUCGAAGAUAACCUUUAUGCUUUACAAGCUGAAGUAGAAAAACUGAAGGAGCUCAGGGGUGAUCUGACGAGCAGGGUCAGAAUUGCUGAAUAUGAGUAGCAGCAUAAGCGGCUAAACCAAGUUGAGGGUUGGCUUCAGAGGGCCAAUCAUGUGGUAGCCGAUGCUGAUCAACUGAGUCGGGAAAGUCCUCAGCAAGUUGAAAAGUUAUGUAUGGGAGGUUGUUGUUCCCAGCAUCCCAGGUCCACCCACAAGUUCGGGAAGCAAAUCGCCACAAUACUCCAAGAGGUGAAACAUCUGAAGGAGAAUGGAGAUUUCAGUGAUGUGUCCUGCAAGCCACCACUUCCUUCUGCAACUAAACGACCUUCUGAGCCAACUGUGGGUUUAGAGUCCUAUGUCAAUCAGGUUUGGAGCAGUCUUCAAAAGGAACAAGUGGGAGUUAUUGGAAUAUAUGGCUUAGGAGGGGUUGGCAAGACAACCCUCCUAAACCAAAUCAAAAACAUAUUCCAUGAUACUACCCAUGAUUACCGUGUAAUUUGGGCAGUUGCAUCUCAAGAUCGGCCAAUUGAAAAAGUCCAGGAUCAGAUUGCCAAAAGAAUAGGCCUUUCCAAUGAAGGUUGGGAAUCUAGGAGCCGUGAUGAGAAAGCUAGAGAUAUCUUCAACGUAUUAUGUAGAAAGAAGUUUGCAUUGUUAUUGGAUGAUAUAUGGGAACGGUUUGAUCUCACAGGAGCCGGGGUACCUCUUCCAACACAAGGAAAUGGCUCUAAAGUCAUUUUCACAACUCGUAGUCGUGACG
rnacentral:lncRNA from 1 species